UUGAAGGGCUGUAGAAGACUGACAUGAAACUGUCUGAACCAUUUGUACACUGGCUUACUGGGUCAAAGUUUGGAUUGAUUGAUUUGAUUUGACCAUUAUUGAUAUAGUAUGAAUCAAGCACUCUGUGUGUCAUAGAUUCAAAUACAAAAUAGUCAGGGAUGACACAAUAAAGCCCAUAGGCUCAUUUCCAUUGUGGUCCCUAGCACAAUGGAAUCAUUCUGGGCACAGUCAUAGUAAAAUAGUACAAUGUAAAUAGAAUAGAAUAUAGGCUAUACAUAAUUGCUUUAUAAUUUAGCAGUCCAGCAUAUGAUAAAUGGAGAGGGAGAGUAGUGAUUCAUUGUUAUUUAAACCUGCAUGCCUAUGAAGCCCAUUUGAAUUGAAUUGAAUUGAAAUGAGUAGUGUGAACGGUCAGUAUGUUGGUAGUCUUAAGUAUGAUGUCAACGUUCUGAUGAGGAGAACACAGAUGUCAAAUCUAGGCUGUUCAAUUCUGAAUAGUUGGUUCAAAGUGUUUUCUCUCCAACAGGUCCUUCAAUUGUCUUCUUCCAUUUGUCCCUCCUUGAAGCAUCGUUUCUAAAACGCAAACCAAAGGCACUUUUUAGAGCCACGUCUGUCUGUCUUGUUAUCCUGCCCGUGCUGUGUUGUACUUGUCAGUCUUUCUGUUGCUGUUUGUGUAUCUUUCUGUCAGUAUUAAGUUCUUGUCUGUAAAAAAAUAUCUUGUUAUCUGUCUUGUUUUUGUUUAUAUCAGUGUGUGUCAUGACACGUCCAAAGUUCAGGCCCUGUCCAUCUUGCCAGACACUCAAUGCUGCAAGCCUCAAAACUUGCAGCAUGUGUUAUGUGAGCCUGUCAAUGAAGAAGAAGUUGAAGGAAAAGACAGCAUCAUUGGACAGCAAGUGGGGUCAAGGUAUCGUCCCAAACCGGAAUGUUGGCCGCAUUAUUGAUUCAGCCGGUAUUGCAGUGCGAAAACUUGAGGCCAUAGGCUACAAGCCCAUUUUAUUUAUGGGAAAAAAGACAAGAAGGCCUCUAACAAGUGGGUAGCUGACAUAAUAACCCAUUUGCCCCUCACAUCUACCACCAAAAACUUCUUGGAGAAGAUGAGGAGGGCUUAUGAAUUUCUUUUGACUAAGGAACCGCAGCCCAACACUGACCCAUCAGCAGAGCCUGAUAACCCCACCAUGGAGCAGGGUGACAGCCCCGUCGAGGGUAUGGGCCACAGCCAGGACGAGGAGCAGCACAGCAGCCUCGCCAUGGAGCAACGUGACCACACCUAGGAGACUGUAUUUGUCCUGAACCUUGUCCCUUGUCCGUCUCUCUCUUCUUCUUCUUCUUCUACCUCUACCACUGU